CAAUGAGGUUGCCAGUUGACACCUUUGUGAUGUCAGCAGCCUCAGGAGACUGCCUGGCUGAGGGAGGGAGAGUCCCGCCUCUCCUUCUGGGUGGUGUGGGGGUGUUUUGUGUAUCUCGGCAAGGAAGCUGAAUAGAAAAACAACUUUCCUAAGCUCAAAGAAUGAAUGGCAAGGCCAGCAACCGUUGACUCGUCGAUGCCUGAGGUGACCCAUAUUUCUGUAAUGAGGAAUUCCUUCCAAGGCCAUCUGCAACAUGCUGUAUCCAUUGGGCAGACCACUGGGCAUUUCAUACUUUAUCAAAGCCCCAGAAGGGGCAGAACCACUAUCGUGGAAAUCUCUCCAUAAUCCAGGUAUUUACACUUUCAGUAACCUGCGUAUGGAUCCCACUGCUAUUUAAUUAAGACUUAAACCUAUAAAGAUGCACAUUUAAUACUCAGAGUAAACCCUUGACUUGUUCCCUUUGAAGAUAAACAGAGAGCGAGAGUGAGUGAGGGAGGGGCAAAGGGAGAGGAAGAGAGAAUCUCAAGCAGGAUCCACACCUGGUGCAAAGCCUGAUGCAGGGCUCAAUCCCAGGACCCCAGGAUCACGACUUGAGCCGAAAUCGAGAGUAGGAUGCUCAACCGACUGAACCACCCAGACAAGAAGAGAGAUCUCUUAUUUCUCAUCGGAGGGAGAUACAAAAGAAGGUUGCUGGCAGAUAGAGCCAAUUCUUAACCACUGAGAGGAGAGGCUAGCUGAAGACCUAACAUCCUAAGGAAGGCUCUCCAGAUACAGGCACUCUGCCUCCUGCCUUCUAGGUUAGAGGAAAAAAAGAUCCUUCGGCUGCUAAGGUGAAGAUAGCAUUUAGGAUGCAGAAAUGGGACUUGGAAGUACUCCUGAUUCCUUUUAGGGAAGAAAAGGUCCAUCUAGGCUUACCUCAUUGCUAAGAAGAAUAAUAAGCAUUUGUUCAGCGAUAAUAAUGUGUGAGGUGCCUGAAAGAGCCCUGAAUCAGGCUAAAUAAUUUCUUCCUUCCUUUAGAAAAUAAAAAACAGCUUGCCCGA